CUCUUCAGCAUCGGUGGUCAAAUAUUCAGACCCAGGAGAAACCGGCUGGGAGAUGCAAACUUUGAGAGGCAGCUGAUCUUGAAUGCUAACAAAAAGAUUUGAAGGAAGAAAGAAACCGCAGAUCCACCAUUGCUUUCUUUAGGUCACUUUUCAGUAUAACUGAAAUGGAAUUUGGAAAAUGAUUUGAAAUGAAAAAACAUUUGCAUCUUAAAGGACUAUAGUCUUGUUUUUGUUUUCAUAAUAAAGACCAUUCAAGCAGCAA